AAGUCGUAACAAGGUUUCCGUCGGGGAACCAGCGGAAGGAUCAUUUUCGUAACAAACACUGCGACUGCGUGGUCUCUCACUUUUAUGCCAUUUUUCAAUCACUGAAAUCUUACUGACACAACUGGCACCGGCGGAUCUCUUGGCUCGU
rnacentral:misc_RNA from 1 species